rnacentral:rRNA from 1 species
UACAGAGGUCCCGAGCGUUGUUCGGAUUCACUGGGCGUAAAGCGCGUGUAGGCUGCUUCGCAAGUCGGAUGUGAAAGCCCUGGGCUCAACCCAGGAAGUGCAUUCGAAACUGCAGAGCUGGAGUCCUGGAGAGGAAGGCGGAAUUCUCGGUGUAGAGGUGAAAUUCGUAGAUAUCGAGAGGAACACCGGUGGCGAAGGCGGCCUUCUGGACAGUGACUGACGCUGAGACGCGAAAGCGUGGGGAGCAAACAGG